rnacentral:rRNA from 1 species
UUGCUCUUCAACGAGGAAUCCCUAGUAAGCGCAAGUCAUCAGCUUGCGUUGAUUACGUCCCUGCCCUUUGUACACACCGCCCGUCGCUACUACCGAUUGAAUGGCUCAGUGAGGCGUCCGGACUGGCCCAGAGAGGUGGGCAACUACCACUCAGGGCCGGAAAGCUCUCCAAACUCGGUCAUUUAGAGGAAGUAAAAGUCGUAACAAGGUCUCCGUUGGUGAACCAGCGGAGGGAUCAUUACUGAGUUGCAAAACUCCCAAACCCAAUGUGAACCUUACCUACACGUUGCUUCGGCGGACCCGCCCCGGCGCUUCGGCGACCGGACCCAGGCGACCGCCGGGGGAAAACACAAACCCUUUGUAUUACACAGUGAAUCUUCUGAGUAAAAAAAAACAAAUGAAUCAAAACUUUCAACAACGGAUCUCUUGGCUCUGGCAUCGAUGAAGAACGCAGCGAAAUGCGAUAAGUAAUGUGAAUUGCAGAAUUCAGUGAAUCAUCGAAUCUUUGAACGCACAUUGCGCCCGCCGGUAUUCUGGCGGGCAUGCCUGUCCGAGCGUCAUUUCAACCCCUCGAGCCCCCGGGCCCGGUGUUGGGGAACGACCAGCAGCCCUCCGGGGCGGUCGUCCCUGAAAUACAGUGGCGGUCACGUCGCGGACCCUCUGCGUAGUAGCAACACCUCGCACUGGAGAGCGGCGCGCCCACGCCCCGAAACACUUCUUUCACAGGUUGACCUCGGAUCAGGUAGGAAUACCCGCUGAACUUAAGCAUAUCAAUAAGCGGAGGA